rnacentral:ncRNA from 1 species
UAAAAAUUUUAUAAUUUAUUUAAUUUAUUAUAAAUUUAUUUUACAUAUGAAUUUUAGUGUUUAAUUUUGAUUAUUUUGAAAAUAAUUAAUUAUAAUUUGUAGUAAUUAAUAUUAAAAAUUUAAGAAAUUAAGUUUUAGUAAUAUUUAAACUAAUAACAAAAUUUGUGCCAGCAGUUGCGGUUAAACAAAAAUUGGGUUAAAUUAUUUCAGUAUAUAAUAAUUAAAUUAAUGUAUUUAAAAUAAAUAUUAAAUUGUUAGGUGAAAUUUUAAUUUAAUUAAAUUUUCUUUAAAAAUUAUGAAUUAAUAAAUUUAAAAUUAAACUAGGAUUAGAUACCCUAUUAUUAAAAAUUUAAUUUAUAAUACUAAAAUAGUAAAUAUAAUUUAUUGAAACUUAAAUAAUAUGGCGGUAUUUUAGUUCAUUUAGAGGAAUCUGUUUAAUAAUUGAUAAUCCACGAAUAAAUUUACUUAAUUUAAAAUUUUGUAUAUCAUUGUUAAAAAAAUAUUUUUCUAAAAAAAUAAUAUUUAAAAUUUAAAAUAAAAGUUAAUUCAGAUCAAGAUGCAGAUUAUAAUUAAGAAUAUAAUGGAUUACAAUAAAUAUAUUUAAAUGGAUAAUAUUUUGUAAGAUUAAUUUGAAAGUGGAUUUAAAUGUAAUUUUAAUUAAUUUAUUAAAAUGAUUAAAAAUUGAAAUAUGUACAUAUUGCCCGUCACUUUCAUUUAAAAAUUGAAAUAAGUCGUAACAAAGUAGAAGUACUGGAAAGUGUUUCUAGAAUGAA